CUUUUCGGCAUCAGAGUUACUGUGCAAUUAUUUUCUAAGAUAUGUUCAGUAUACCCACUCCUAUCAAGACGUAUUUGCACCAUGAUUUUAGUACAUCAUGAAUGUUAGAAUCUUAACACACGAGCAAGCAGCAAUUUGUACACAAAGAUAGAUCGACAAUGUUACUGUAAGUCAUUAGUUCUAGUGCUAAAUUGCCCAUUCAGGAAUGUUGCAUAGAUAAUUCUUAUUUUCCUCAUGAAUGCCUUGAGCCUCUUAAUUUGUAUUCCCCCCAUGAAUUCAGAAUUGUUGCACAGAUAAUUUCUAUUUUAGGAAUGUUGCAUGGUUCUUUUGUAGAAUCAAAAGUUCCUUGUUCAUCAACACUCUUAAUUUUAUGUCUAACCCUUGAGGAGGUUGGUUGUAAAAAGAAACUCCAUUAGGUUCCAGUUUUAUUUACUAUAACAUGUACUAUUUUCAUGAGCUUGACAUGUUAGGACUUUAGAGUUUAACUAUUUUUAUUUCAGGAAUGUUGCAUGGUUCUUUUCUAUAUUUGAUUCCUUGUUCAACAACACUCUUAUUUUAUGUUUAAGACUGGAUGUUGUGAACAUGGAGGCCAAUGGGAUGGUUGUGGUGGAAGAUCACAACGUCGACGAGUUCAUCAGCCUUGAGGCGCCCUUGAGGAGGUUGUGUGCAGCUCCGGGUUGCCAUUCUUGGUGUUCACGGAUGGUGGGAUCUGGGCAGACCGGAGUGCUGGCACGGACGACAACGGCCACCGAAUUUCUUACGGUUGGAUCAACCUGGACUAAGAUGGGCAGCGAGCCAGCGAAUUAAUGGUGCAAGUACAUGAGUGUCUAUUAGCGAGUGGUGUGCAUCAUCAACCUAGACAAGGAUCGACAUCAAUCCAGUGAGUGAAUGGUGCACGCAUAUCAUGUGCUCCAUUUAGUGAGUGGUGUGGUGGAGCAAUCUUCGCGUAUAGGACAUUGUAAAUUUGUAUUUGUUCCCUGAUUGCAGUAAUAAGAUGGGAGCUUUUAGAAUAAGCGUCUCCCAAAUGAUGCUCACAUUGCAGUCUAGGUUUUGUCUACGGUUAGCAUUUCAUUGAUUUUGUUCAUGAAGCCAGAGAUAGAUUGUACAAGAUAAAUCAGUAACAUUGUUAUAGUUAUAUAAAAUCUCUCAUGUAA